UAGAGUUUAUGGAUUGGGGUGAUUAUGGUGCUAUGGGAAACUUUAUCAAGAUUGGUUCUGUAGUGUCCAAAGAGGUUGAUGAGCAAGAUGACAUUUUUGUCAUAGUGGCUCCUCAGAAUGUUGUUGGCAAUUGUAUUAUUGACGACCUAAAAGCUAUGACUGAUGCUGCUGGGAAC